rnacentral:rRNA from 1 species
AGAUUGAACGCUGGCGGCAGGCCUAACACAUGCAAGUCGAGCGGAAACGAGUUAUCUGAACCUUCGGGGAACGAUAACGGCGUCGAGCGGCGGACGGGUGAGUAAUGCCUAGGAAAUUGCCCUGAUGUGGGGGAUAACCAUUGGAAACGAUGGCUAAUACCGCAUGAUGCCUACGGGCCAAAGAGGGGGACCUUCGGGCCUCUCGCGUCAGGAUAUGCCUAGGUGGGAUUAGCUAGUUGGUGAGGUAAGGGCUCACCAAGGCGACGAUCCCUAGCUGGUCUGAGAGGAUGAUCAGCCACACUGGAACUGAGACACGGUCCAGACUCCUACGGGAGGCAGCAGUGGGGAAUAUUGCACAAUGGGCGCAAGCCUGAUGCAGCCAUGCCGCGUGUGUGAAGAAGGCCUUCGGGUUGUAAAGCACUUUCAGUCGUGAGGAAGGUAGUGUAGUUAAUAGCUGCAUUAUUUGACGUUAGCGACAGAAGAAGCACCGGCUAACUCCGUGCCAGCAGCCGCGGUAAUACGGAGGGUGCGAGCGUUAAUCGGAAUUACUGGGCGUAAAGCGCAUGCAGGUGGUUUGUUAAGUCAGAUGUGAAAGCCCGGGGCUCAACCUCGGAAUAGCAUUUGAAACUGGCAGACUAGAGUACUGUAGAGGGGGGUAGAAUUUCAGGUGUAGCGGUGAAAUGCGUAGAGAUCUGAAGGAAUACCGGUGGCGGAAGGCGGCCCCCUGGACAGAUACUGACACUCAGAUGCGAAAGCGUGGGGAGCAAACAGGAUUAGAUACCCUGGUAGUCCACGCCGUAAACGAUGUCUACUUGGAGGUUGUGGCCUUGAGCCGUGGCUUUCGGAGCUAACGCGUUAAGUAGACCGCCUGGGGAGUACGGUCGCAAGAUUAAAACUCAAAUGAAUUGACGGGGGCCCGCACAAGCGGUGGAGCAUGUGGUUUAAUUCGAUGCAACGCGAAGAACCUUACCUACUCUUGACAUCCAGAGAACUUUCCAGAGAUGGAUUGGUGCCUUCGGGAACUCUGAGACAGGUGCUGCAUGGCUGUCGUCAGCUCGUGUUGUGAAAUGUUGGGUUAAGUCCCGCAACGAGCGCAACCCUUAUCCUUGUUUGCCAGCGAGUAAUGUCGGGAACUCCAGGGAGACUGCCGGUGAUAAACCGGAGGAAGGUGGGGACGACGUCAAGUCAUCAUGGCCCUUACGAGUAGGGCUACACACGUGCUACAAUGGCGCAUACAGAGGGCGGCCAACUUGCGAAAGUGAGCGAAUCCCAAAAAGUGCGUCGUAAUCCGGAUUGGAGUCUGCAACUCGACUCCAUGAAGUCGGAAUCGCUAGUAAUCGUGGAUCAGAAUGCCACGGUGAAUACGUUCCCGGGCCUUGUACACACCGCCCGUCACACCAUGGGGAGUGGGCUGCAAAAGAAGUAGGUAGUUUAACCUUCGGGGGGACGCUUACCACUUUGUGGUUCAUGACUGGGGUGAAUCU